rnacentral:rRNA from 1 species
GCCAGCAGCCAUAUCACUCUGCAACUCACAACUGACACCCCACUGAAGCUAAGCAGGUGUGAGUCUGGACAGUACCUGGAUGGGAGACCUCCUGGGAAAAACUAAGGUUGCUGCUGGAA